UACGAAGGGAGCUAGCGUUGUUCGGAAUCACUGGGCGUAAAGCGCACGUAGGCGGAUGUGUCAGUCAGGGGUGAAAUCCCGGAGCUCAACUUCGGAACUGCCUUUGAUACAGCACGUCUUGAGUCCGAUAGAGGUGGGUGGAAUUCCCAGUGAGAGGUGAAUUCGUAGAUAUUAGGAAGAACACCGGUGGCGAAGGCGGCCCACUG
rnacentral:rRNA from 1 species